rnacentral:rRNA from 1 species
UACAGAGGUCUCAAGCGUUGUUCGGAUUCAUUGGGCGUAAAGGGUGCGUAGGCGGCGCGGUAAGUCGGGUGUGAAAUCUCGGGGCUUAACUCCGAAACUGCAUUCGAUACUGCCGUGCUUGAGGACUGGAGAGGAGACUGGAAUUUACGGUGUAGCGGUGAAAUGCGUAGAUAUCGUAAGGAAGACCAGUGGCGAAGGCGGGUCUCGUGGACAGUCCUGACGCUGAGGCACGAAGGCCAGGGGAGCAAACGGG